AAUUAAAUUUACAUUUUUAAUAUUUUUAUUCAAAAUAAUUGGCAAAUAUUAAUGGUUUCUCAAUUGACGAAGGCAAUUGUUAACAAAGUGUUGCAAAUUCAAUUUUUUCGUUAAACAACAAUGAUUCAUCUGUGAAAACCAAACAAUGUGGUAUUACGAAUAAUAAACUAAAGCAAAGAGUGUUGCGAGGCCCUCGAAAUGCCCAAGUCCGCACCUGGACACCCAAAAAAAAAAAUUUUGCGUGGGGGGUUUUUUAGGGGAGACCAUUUUUGCCUUCGUGGCGGUCUCCAAACCACGGGUGAAUUAAAUUAUUCCUAGCUUCCGAUGUGCCUUUAAAGAUGGGGAAGCUAGGAAGGGCUAGAUGUUAGUAAGGGUGUUAAUAUUUAGGUUUUGGUAGGCACUUGUUGCGGGUAACACUUGUCAUUGUUAGCCAUGCCUUGUUAGUAAUGUUAGAAUUGUUCUUGAUAUGCAGGCGAUUAAAAUGCCUGUGAUGUUGGGUGGUGGCUGGCAAAAGAUCUGAGGCCACGUUUUAUUUUCUGUGGGAGAUCGUGGGGUUUUAGUAUUGCCUGGGAAUGGUGGCCAGGACUUAUAUUUCGGCAAAUACAUCACCGGUGGGAGAGUGUCGGGGCAGCCAAAAUUCUUGCAGUGAGCCCAUAUUACAUUCCAAGGAAAGUGAUGUGUGUUCACGAGAAAUAUGGCCGGCUCCGAUACUCCGCCACCAGAAAAACCGCUGAAAAGAAAAAAAGAAAUAAUUAAUAAAUAUAAAAUGGUUUAAUUGUAGAAAUAUAAAAAUAAAUUGGAACGACGCAAGCUAAUACUACCACCGCCAAAUACUAAUGCCAAAAACAAUGACAGUUGUCAGAUGGCUAUGAAUGACAUUCACUACGAAGUGAUAACCCAAAUGGAAUUGGUAUCAUAAUGGAACUUGAGCAAAGUAGAGACGGUGUUGCCGAUGUGGAGUUAAAUACUCUUAGAUAGCAGUCGCGAGAAAAAUUGUGACUCUUAAUUUUUUUGGGCGAAUAUGAGUAUGAAAUUUUCACUAGAAAGAGACCAUUUAUUUAAUUUAGAUAAGGAUAACUGGUGUCUAAUGAACAAAAUGUCCAUCAGUGGAAAGCUACAACUGCGCACUGAAAAGGUUAUAAAAGAGAGUAGCCAAUGAAGAGAGGUUAAUAGUUAGAAAAUUGGUGCUGAACGAGAAAAAACGUUCAUACUGAAAAUUGGAAGUUCAGUGAAAAAUAUUCAUGACUAUUAAGAUAUUAAAUUGAAAAAAGAACUACAAAUUUAAAUAAAAGGUUUGCUUGGAGGAUUGUGUGAUUUUUGUUGGUCUUUGCGGUGAACCCAGUGGAUAAAUUAAUUAAUAAGUGUGAGGCGAAAGCCAUUGAGGCCAGCCACGUUUACACACGACAGCGCAACAACGAAAGAAAAGCGCUAUCUCUUGGGUGAAGACCAAACAUCACAAACAUUAUCCCGGUAUUGCAAAGGUAGGAAAAUAUAAUUUCCCAACUUUUUAUAGCACCAGUAUAUCUGCCCCACCGCCAUCUACGGGACAGUGGCUAUACAAGCAUUCCACGUGAUCUCGGUUCAGCACCACUUUAUUCCUAUAAAGAAAAAAUUGGCUGUGUUAAUGAUCCAAGACACAAUAGGAUCCACACAUAUAUCGACAAACUGUCAUAAUUUUACAGUGUUUCCAAGGUGGAAGAUUUUUGCUAUUACCACGAUUGGUGCAGAAGAUAAGAAAAAGCCUGGAAACAAAAUUCUAAGUGGCGCAAGUAAAAUUAAUGAA